AGGGUUUAUCCAAGAGGUCAUACAUCCAUGAACUUCAGCAGUAAAUGGCUAGCUGAAGCCUGUUAAAUCCAAGAAGCUGGGUUUGCUAGAAAUGUAGAAGAUAACAUGUUCAGAACCAGAGAGGUAGCAUACAUUAUUCCAGGCUGUCUUCAGAUGCUUUUGUUAAAUGCUUCUGAGGGGGAAUAACUCAGGAGAAUCUUUCUGACCAAGACAGCAUUCAUCAAUUGCCUGGAUACCAUUGAUGUUUGCCAGACUUCAAGGAGGUGCACUUUGCUGCUUUUCUGAUUGAGAGCACCUACCAUCUGCUGGCCGGAGCUUACAGCUGAAGGAAGGAGGAACCUGUAUCCUGCCAGGAGUGCAGAGGUUACUUAAUAAUCUUAAGAAGGUUUACUAUGUUAUAAUGUGGAUUA